GACGAACGUUGGCGGCGUGCUUAAUACAUGCAAGUCAACUGAAGCAGUGGUAGCAAUAUCGCUGUGGAGGUGGCGCACGGGUGAGUAACACGUAGGUAAUCUGCCUUCAGGUCUGGCAUAACUCCGGGAAACCGGGGCUAAUAGCAGAUGAUGCAGCGGCUCGACAUCGAGACAGUUGUUAAAGCUAUGGCGCCUGAAGAUGAGCCUGCGUCUGAUUAGCUAGUUGGCGGGGUAACGGCCCACCAAGGCAACGAUCAGUAGCUGGUCUGAGAGGAUGAUCAGCCACACUGGAACUGAGACACGGUCCAGACUCCGACGGGAGGCAGCAGUGAGGAAUAUUGCGCAAUGGGAGAAAUACUGAAGCAGCAACGCCGCGUGAGGGACGAAGGGCUGUUGCUUGUAAACCUCUGUAGUGAGAGAAAAAAAUCCCAAUCUUUGGGACAUGAUGGUAUCUCAAAAGUAAGCCCCGGCUAACUACGUG
rnacentral:rRNA from 1 species